UUUAAUGGCUGCAUAGUAUUCCAUGGUGUAUAUGUGCCACACUUUCUUUAUCCAGUCUACCAUUGAUAGGCAUUUGGAUUGGUUCCAAGUCUUUGGUAUUGUGAAUAGUGCUGCAAUAAACAUAUGUGUGCACGUCUCUUUAUAGUAGAAUGAUUUGUAAUCCUUUGGGUAUAUACCCAGUGAUGGGACUGCUGGGUCAAAUGGUGGUUCUGGUUCUAGAUCCUUGAGAAACAUUUGCUAAGAGUGAUGGCUAGGGUCUAAGACAUAUACUCCCACUGGAUUCUCAGAGCAGUUAUGAGAGGAAGCCGGGCAUACGUUACACCCCAGUAAUAUGAGAUGAUGGUGACUUGUCGUAUUUUACCCAUUUGUUUACUCAGCAACUAUUUGUUAAACAUCAUGUGUCAAGCUGUGCUUAAAGAGCAAGGAAUAUAUAGAGAGAAACCAGACAGGCAAGAUACUUGUUCUCAUUUGAGUCACCAGGUCCAGGUCCACAGUGCCACAGAAAGGAGGCUGGCAAGUAUGUGGAGGCCUGAGAGGGCCUUGUUUUCCACAGUUAGAAGAGUGGGCUCCCUACUAAUUAAACAGGAGGAAAAGGCAUAAAGUAGUCAUAUUUGCAGUUCAGAAUGUCACUCCAGCAUCACUGGGGAGAAUGUACUGAGACUGGGAACAUUCUGAGGCCAGAGGCAAGGACAAAAGUGCAGGAGUAUUGGAUAAUUGUAAGCAAAUGUCUAGUGGAAAGAAUCUGUAAUAGGAUAUUCAGCAAUCCUUACAAGAAAUCUUUGCAAAAUAGUAAGGAGGCCAAGCGCAGUGUCUCAUGCCUGUAAUCCCAACUCUGGGAGGCUGAGGUUGGAGGAUUGUUUGAUCCCAGGAGUUUGAGACCAGACUUGGCAACAUGGCAAGGCCCCAUCUCUACUAAAAAUACAAAAAGUUCGCUGGACAUGGUAGCAUGCACCUGUAGUCCCAGCACUCAGAGAGGCUGAGGCAGGAGGAUCAUCUGAGCCUGGGAAGUUGAGGCUGCAGUGAGCUGUGGUGGUGUCACUGCACUCCAGCCUGAGCGACAGAAAAAAUAAUAAUAAUGAUAAUAUAAUUAAGGAAAAGGGGGGAAGGGAUGAAAGGGGUGGCAUAGACAAUUCUUGUUAAGUUAUUGAAUGUAGAUCUUGGAGGAAAGAAAAAAUUAGGGGGAGAUUCUGCUGAUGGAAUCCGCUGACUGGAAGGACACCUUCAGGAACAGCUCCGCUUCCACCCCACCCCCAUCUUCACAUGCACUUGAUCCAACCAGGGGCCCUUCCCCGGCUGGGUCUUUUAGCUUCCCACUCACUUUCCAGGAUUAGAAAGUUCAACCCAAGUGUCUUAGGUUUUGUAUCUGUCUCAGUGCAUUUUCCCUCCAUUCACUCUGGCUUGACCUCAAGGGGAGAAGAGGGAAAGGUCCUUCGUGCUGCAGUUCAACCUCCCUAAACCCCUGUGAGGCUUCCUACUCUUCAUACCCCAGAGCUUCCCCUGGAGGCUGAGGUGAGGGAGGCCGUGUGAAAAGGAAUGAAAGGGAACCUGAAAACAUAUUUCCACUUAGCUGAUGCUGGGCCUCCCUCUCUCAUUGGCCAAGGCCCCGAGUCAUGGCAGCCAUUCAAGGCUGGCUUCUACAUUGCGUGCAGUUGAGGGUCCU
rnacentral:lncRNA from 1 species